AAAAGAAUAAAAAAUUAAAUUUUGAAUGACACAUGUAAACAUCUAAUCGUUUGAUUUGACACGUGACAUGAUCCUAUGAAUUAGUAACUUUAAAACCAUACUUUAUAUAAUAAGAUCAUGUAUGGAUCCUUUUCUUUUGCUAUAACUUCCAAU
rnacentral:sRNA from 1 species